rnacentral:rRNA from 1 species
UGGGGAAUUUUGGACAAUGGGGGCAACCCUGAUCCAGCAAUGCCGCGUGUGUGAAGAAGGCCUUCGGGUUGUAAAGCACUUUUGUCCGGGAAGAAAUCCCCUGCCCUAAUACGGCGGGGGGAUGACGGUACCGGAAGAAUAAGCACCGGCUAACUACGUGCCAGCAGCCGCGGUAAUACGUAGGGUGCGAGCGUUAAUCGGAAUUACUGGGCGUAAAGCGUGCGCAGGCGGUGAUGUAAGACCGAUGUGAAAUCCCCGGGCUCAACCUGGGGAACUGCAUUGGUGACUGCAUUGCUCGAGUAUGGCAGAGGGGGGUGGAAUUCCACGUGUAGCAGUGAAAUGCGUAGAGAUGUGGAGGAACACCGAUGGCGAAGGCAGCCCCCUGGGCCAAUACUGACGCUCAUGCACGAAAGCGUGGGGAGCAAACAGGAUUAGAUACCCUGGUAGUCCACGCCCUAAACGAUGUCAACUGGUUGUCGGGCCUUCAUUGGCUUGGUAACGUAGCUAACGCGUGAAGUUGACCGCCUGGGGGAGUAC